rnacentral:rRNA from 1 species
UACGUAGGGGGCAAGCGUUGUCCGGAAUCAUUGGGCGUAAAGAGCGUGUAGGCGGUCCUGUAAGUCCGCUGUGAAAGUCAAGGGCUCAACCCUUGAAUGCCGGUGGAUACUGCAGGACUAGAGUCCGGAAGAGGCGAGUGGAAUUCCUGGUGUAGCGGUGAAAUGCGCAGAUAUCAGGAGGAACACCGAUGGCGAAGGCAGCUCGCUGGGACGGUACUGACGUUGAGACGCGAAAGCGUGGGGAGCAAACAGG